UAAUUAUCUCUAAAAGUUACUCCCUCUGAUACUAAAUUCUUAUCUCAAAAUUAUCUAAAUAUGGAUGUAUCUAUUCUUAAAAGACGCCUAGAUACAUGUAAUAUUUCGAAAACAAUUUAGAAUCGGUGGGAGUAACUAGUUUAUAAUAAAAUCACGCAGGUGAUACUGUCUCUUUGAUUUGGCCGUUGUGUCAUCAUCAGACAUAAAGAAGUUAGUUAUCACUUCCAUACAUCGAUCGCUGCCCGCAUACGUGCUCGAUCCGUAGGCCGGUGUGUUCAAUGCGACUUAUCAUGGCCGGCGUCGGUACGCAAUUAAGAUCCAGCCUCCAGAGCAUGAAUGCGCCCGCGUACACCACGCAGUCGCUCGCAUCGCAUCGCGGUCCAAAGUCCAAACUAACAACAUAUGGACUGAACCCAUACCGGCCGGCAUACCGCUGGAUGGCCGGAUGGAGCCUCGAGCUCAGUUCUCAACGGGAAAGGAAGGCCGGGACGGGAUCGCUGUUCGCGGCGUCUCUCCGGAACAAAAUUCUUCACAGUACUCUCCAGUGCGCCGCGCACGUACAGGAUUACAUAAGGCCACUCACAGAGUUUAGCGUCGGCGAGCAAGUGGUGCGCGCGACUUGCAAAUUAAAGGCAAAAUCUUGCAUCUCGCAACUUGCAUGCAGAGCAUAAAGCUCAAAGAGAUUCAAGCAGAUAAAGCCUGCCGCCUGCCGGUUCGCUCAAAGUAAACCGGCCGGGGGCACAUAAUCGAACCAUCGAAGUGGACGCGCCGGGCCGGGCCAGCGGGAUCAACAUCGGCAUGUGUGAUGUGUCGAUCUCGAGUUGGUUGGCUCAAGGGCGGGCUGGGGAAGCAAGUGUCGGCAGGGUGCGUCUCAAGGGCGCGCGCGGCCGGCCUGUGCAAGCUAGGCGCGGAUAUCCCGCGUUGAUACCCCGACGACGGCGAUCGAUCGGUCGUCGGUACACGCCCGUGCCCGCGCGCGGCUGGCUGGUCGCGUCGCGCCAGUGGAUAUAAUGUGGUUGCACGUCCACUUUGGCCUGCCGGCCCUGGGCGUUCAGGUCGCCGUCGGCAACCAGCAGUCCGGAACCGACAGCCGCGACGGCGACAUGGAUAUGGGGCUGGAUGAGGCCAGUGACGCGUCGCGUGCGCGUUCGUUGAUGGGAAGACGUACGUACGACCGCUAGCUAGUUGCGUCCACGUGUAAACGUACGUACGUGGGUGGUGGCCGGUAGUAUAGGGGUAUAUGGUACGAGUGGAAUACGAUCGAUCAGUGUGCUUAUGCAACGUGUAUGCUCUCGUCUCGAUCUAGCGAGACCAUUCGUUAUUCGUAAGUGUGGUUAGGCGUUCGUGUAAGGCAGGCAGGCAGCUUGCCAUUUCUUUCUGUCUAUGAUCGACUUCAUUGGUUGCGUUUAAGAAGAGUUAACACGGAACACAUGGAUUCA